rnacentral:rRNA from 1 species
UACGUAGGGGGCAAGCGUUAUCCGGAUUUACUGGGUGUAAAGGGAGCGUAGACGGUCCUGCAAGCCAGAUGUGAAAGCCCGGGGCUCAACCCCGGGACUGCAUUUGGAACUGAAGGCUAGAGUGUCGGAGAGGCAGGCGGAAUUCCUAGUGUAGCGGUGAAAUGCGUAGAUAUUAGGAGGAACACCAGUGGCGAAGGCGGCCUGCUGGACGAUGACUGACGUUGAGGCUCGAAAGCGUGGGGAGCAAACAGG